CACUCCUGCGGAGGCAGCAGUGAGGAAUAUUGGACAAUGGGUGGAAGCCUGAUCCAGCCAUCCCGCGUGCAGGAAGACGGCCCUAUGGGUUGUAAACUGCUUUUAUCUGGGGAUAAACCUACUUACGUGUAAGUAGCUGAAGGUACCAGAAGAAUAAGCACCGGCUAACUCCGUGCCAGCAGCCGCGGUAAUACGGAGGGUGCAAGCGUUAUCCGGAUUUAUUGGGUUUAAAGGGUCCGUAGGCGGACUGAUAAGUCAGUGGUGAAAUCCGACAGCUUAACUGUCGAACUGCCAUUGAUACUGUUAGUCUUGAGUAAGGUUGAAGUGGCUGGAAUAAGUAGUGUAGCGGUGAAAUGCAUAGAUAUUACUUAGAACACCAAUUGCGAAGGCAGGUCACUAAGUCUUAACUGACGCUGAUGGACGAAAGCGUGGGGAGCGAACAGGAUUAGAAACCCUGGUAGUCCCA
rnacentral:rRNA from 1 species